rnacentral:rRNA from 1 species
GACGAACGCUGGCGGCGUGCUUAACACAUGCAAGUCGAACGGAAAGGCCCUGCUUUUGUGGGGUGCUCGAGUGGCGAACGGGUGAGUAACACGUGAGUAACCUGCCCUUGACUUUGGGAUGACUUCAGGCAACUGGGGCUAAUACCGGCUAGGAGCUCCUGCUGCAUGGUGGGGGUUGGAAAGUUUCGGCGGUUGGGGAUGGACGCGCGGCUUAUCAGCUUGUUGGUGGGGUAUUGGCUUACCAAGGCUUUGACGGGUAGCCGGCCUGGGAGGGUGACCGGCCACAUGGCUACUGAGAUACGGCCCAGACUCCUACGGGAGGCAGCAGUGGGGAAUAUUGCACAAUGGGCGGAAGCCUGAUGCAGCAACGCCGCGUGCGGGAUGACGGCCUUCGGGUUGUAAACCGCUUUCGCCUGUGACGAAGCGUGAGUGACGGUAAUGGGUAAAGAAGCACCGGCUAACUACGUG